ACAGUGGCUGGCGAUGAGGAAGUCUCUAGCAGAGACCCAGUCCCGCUGCCUAGAAGAAUCAUGGCUCUCUCCAGACUGUUCCUGUCCAUACAGCCAGCUGGGUUCUCAGUUCAUCACGUAGACAGGAAGAAAGAACUCUCUGGGGAAAAAGAAAAGUGGAGAUAAAAUCAAUCACUACAAGUGAGUCAGGCCUCUGGUUGGGUGAAGUUGGAAAAGCUGGAGGAAUCUACCAAGCCAGGUCCACGGAGAGGUCUACAACCACAAGGCCAAACAGCAGACAACAAGCCAACAAGACACAGAAGACCGAAGUGACGAGCUGUUUAGAUGCUGUUAGUAGGUAGAAUUGUUUACAUUAUGAUUGGUGAAAUCUAGACACUUUAAAACCAGAUUUUUGUGGUAGACAUUUAGAAAGAUUUGUAUUAGUAGUUUUGAUGCAUUGGGGUUAUAAAUUGAGAUGCAGUUUUAGUAUUAUCUCUGAGCAACUGUUGAAUAUUUUUCUGUGAAAUAUUUACUGUUCAAUAAAUUAACGUAAUGAA